GGCGAACGGGUGAGUAACACGUGAGCAAUCUGCCCUUGACUCUGGGAUAACUGCGGGAAACUGUAGCUAAUACCGGAUACGACACCUUGGGGCAUCCCGGGGUGUGGAAAGAAUUUUGGUCAAGGAUGAGCUCGCGGCCUAUCAGCUAGUUGGUGAGGUAAAGGCUCACCAAGGCGACGACGGGUAGCCGGCCUGAGAGGGUGACCGGCCACACUGGAACUGAGAUACGGUCCAGACUCCUACGGGAGGCAGCAGUGGGGAAUAUUGCACAAUGGGCGAAAGCCUGAUGCAGCAACGCCGCGUGAGGGAUGAAGGCCUUCGGGUUGUAAACCUCUUUUAGCAGGGAAGAAGCGAAAGUGACGGUACCUGCAGAAAAAGCACCGGCUAACUACGUGCCAGCAGCCGCGGUAAUACGUAGGGUGCAAGCGUUGUCCGGAAUUAUUGGGCGUAAAGAGCUCGUAGGUCGUUUGUCGCGUCGAUUGUGAAAAUCCAAGGCUCAACCUUGGACCUGCAGUGGGUACGGGCAGACUAGAGUGCGGUAGGGGAGAUGGGAAUUCCUGGUGUAGCGGUGGAAUGCGCAGAUAUCAGGAGGAACACCAAUGGCGAAGGCACAUCUCUGGGCCGUAACUGACGCUGAGGAGCGAAAGCGUGGGGAGCGAACAGGAUUAGAUACCCUGGUAGUCCACGCCGUAAACGGUGGGUGCUAGUUGUGGGCCACAUUCCACGUGGUCCGUGACGAAGUUAACACAUUAAGCACCCCGCCUGGGGAGUACGGUCGCAAGACUAAAACUCAAAGGAAUUGACGGGGGCCCGCACAAG
rnacentral:rRNA from 1 species